rnacentral:rRNA from 1 species
AACGAACGCUGGCGGCAGGCCUAACACAUGCAAGUCGAACGCGACCUUCGGGUCGAGUGGCGCACGGGUGAGUAACGCGUGGGAAUCUGCCCUGUGGUACGGAAUAACAUCGGGAAACUGGUGCUAAUACCGUAUAUCCCCUGAGGGGGAAGGAUUUAUCGCCAUGGGAGGAGCCCGCGUAGGAUUAGCUAGUUGGUGAGGUAACGGCUCACCAAGGCGACGAUCCUUAGCUGGUCUGAGAGGAUGAUCAGCCACACUGGGACUGAGACACGGCCCAGACUCCUACGGGAGGCAGCAGUGGGGAAUAUUGGACAAUGGGGGAAACCCUGAUCCAGCCAUGCCGCGUGUGUGAUGAAGGCCUUCGGGUUGUAAAGCACUUUCGCACGUGACGAUGAUGACGGUAACGUGAGAAGAAGCCCCGGCUAACUUCGUGCCAGCAGCCGCGGUAAUACGAAGGGGGCAAGCGUUGUUCGGAAUUACUGGGCGUAAAGGGCGCGUAGGCGGUGUACUAAGUUAGGCGUGAAAGCCCUGGGCUCAACCCGGGAAUUGCGCUUGAUACUGGUA